rnacentral:rRNA from 1 species
AUACGUAGGGGGCGAGCGUUGUCCGGAAUGAUUGGGCGUAAAGGGCGCGUAGGCGGCGCGGUAAGUCUGGAGUGAAAGUCCUGCUUUCAAGGUGGGAAUUGCUUUGGAUACUGCCGCGCUUGAGUGCAGGAGAGGUUAUCGGAAUUCCCGGUGUAGCGGUGAAAUGCGUAGAGAUCGGGAGGAACACCAGUGGCGAAGGCGGGUAACUGGACUGCAACUGACGCUGAGGCGCGAAAGUGUGGGGAGCAAACAGGAUUAGAUACCCUGGUAGUCCACACUGUAAACGAUGAAUGCUAGGUGUAAGAGGUAUCGACCCCUUUUGUGCCGGAGUCAACACGAUAAGCAUUCCGCCUGGGGAGUACGGCCGCAAGGUUGAAACUCAAAUGAAUUGACGGGG